rnacentral:ncRNA from 1 species
UGAAACGGCAAACCGGGGAAAACCCCGGGACGCAAAGCUACGGGGACUAAAGCGGGGCGACCCGCCACGUCAGCCCGGCCGCCA